GACGAACGCUGGCGGCGUGCCUAAUACAUGCAAGUAGAACGCUGAAGGAGGAGCUUGCUUCUCUGGAUGAGUUGCGAACGGGUGAGUAACGCGUAGGUAACCUGCCUGGUAGCGGGGGAUAACUAUUGGAAACGAUAGCUAAUACCGCAUAAGAGUAGAUGUUGCAUGACAUUUGCUUAAAAGGUGCAAUUGCAUCACUACCAGAUGGACCUGCGUUGUAUUAGCUAGUUGGUGGGGUAACGGCUUACCAAGGCGACGAUACAUAGCCGACCGGAGAGGGGGAGCGGCCACUCUGGGACUGAGACACGGCCCAGACGCCUACGGGAGGCAGCAGGAGGGAAUCUUGGGCAAUGGACGGAAGUCUGACCGAGAAACGCCGCGUGAGUGAAGAAGGUUGUCGGAUCGGAAAGCUCGGUUGUAAGGGAAGAAAGAGUGUGAGAGUGGAAAGUUCACACUGUGACGGUAACUUACCAGAAAGAGACGGCUAACUACGUG
rnacentral:rRNA from 1 species